CAUUUUAUCGCCAAUUGUAGUCAUAUGGUAAGAUUCCAAUUUGCUAUUAAUAUUGUUUUCAAAGUAUUCAAAUAUGCAUGUCCCUAGUGUUUCAUAAAACACACUUCAACCUCAACGCAUCACAACGCUGUAUAAUGUUCCCAUUUGUUACAAACUCUCAAAACGAACGCUUCCUAGUUCCUAUUUGUGCUUUCUAAGUAAUUUGAAAUACUUUAAAAAUCAAUAUUUAACCAGAAAUAAUAUGAUAUCUUAUCACUUUUGAUCCGUUGUUACUCCAAUCCUAUAGCCAUAUUCUGACCAAUUGUAGCUUAGCGCAAGUUGCCGAUUUCUUAUAGUUUUCAAAGUAAUCAAAAUGCAUGUUUUUCAUUGCGAAUUAGUUCUCUAGAGUCUAUUUUCUUAAAGGUUCUUAUUCGUACUAUAACAUAGUCUUACAUAGUAUUUUCCUUCUUUGGUUACGAGUUUUUUGCCAAAUACAGUUUAUUUUAUCUAUGGGAUUCUAUAGAUUUUCGUCUAUUCCCUUUCAACACUUUCCUAUUAUAUUAUUCUGCCUUGCUUUGAUUAAAAGAGUUUUGUCAAAUAUGGAGCUAAAAUCACAUCAUAUACGUCAAUGAUACCUUCCCUAUAGGCAUUUUACAUACUUCUUCUGGGAUCAACAGAGAAACUUCGUAUUAUCUUUGCACCUAUAACAAACAACCUAUAUUUAUUUCUAUAAAGAAGUGAAUUAUUGUUAACAUCCGCUUGUUAAUUACGUGGUUCCAUAUUUGUAUAGGAAUUAACAAUUAAAAAUGCAUUACAAUUAAUUUCCGAUCCGUGCGAAACGUUGUAUUUCUUAGUAAUUACGAACACGCGCAUGUAAAAUUAAUGAAUCGUUCUCUAGUAGUCGAUGUUGAUUAAAUCCAUCAAGCAUGACUUUAAUUUUGAUUUCGAGGUUCAUAUCUCUUAGUGAUUAUAUUCAAUAUACUUGAAAAUAUUCAAGUUCUUUGUACUCAAAACAAUAUUGUAUCUAUCUUUUGCAAUCGCUGCAUCAAAAAUCUAUACAGAUAUAAUUUUAAGUAUUAUACUACUUUAAACUUUAAGUUUAAUUGAUAUAAGUUCUUCCAUUGACAUGUUGAAAGUCAAACAUGAAUCCCAAUCUCUAUCUCUAUAUUUUUGAGAGUAGUCUAGCUGUGUACUCUAUCAAUCAAUCUUAUUGGUAAAGAUAAGAUUCCAUUUGUUAUACCUAUUGCCUUAUAAUUUCUAUUGCUUCAUAGUUGUACAUUUCGUGGUCAACUAACAGGACUCUGAAUAUCAAAAUGUAAAUUAGGUCAAGCCAAAUUAAAUAUCUAAAUAUGCCAUCUUUCAACGAUUGGCUUUAUAGCAGAGACUGUGUCAUCUAUUGCCUUAUAAUUUCUAUUGAUUCACAGUUCAAUUUCUAUUGCUUUACAAUUUAAUUUCUAAUGCUUCACAGAUUAAUUUCUAUUGCUUCAUAGUUGUACAUUUCGUGGUCAACUAACAGGACUCUGAAUAUCAAAAUGUAAAUUAGGUCAAGCCAAAUUAAAUAUCUAAAUAUGCCAUCUUUCAACGAUUGGCUUUAUAGCAGAGACUGUGUCAUCUAUUGCCUUAUAAUUUCUAUUGAUUUAUAGUUGUAUAUUUCGUGGUCAACUAACAGGACUCUGAAUAUCAAAAUGUAAAUUAGGUCAAGUCAAAUGAAAUAUCUAAAUAUGCCAUCUUUCAACGAUUGACUUUAUAUCAGAGACUGUGUCAUCUAUUGCCUUAUAAUUUCUAUUGCUUCAUAGUUGUACAUUUCGUGGUCAACUAACAGGACUCUGAAUAUCAAAAUGUAAAUUAGGUCAAGCCAAAUUAAAUAUCUAAAUAUGCCAUCUUUCAACGAUUGGCUUUAUAGCAGAGACUGUCUCAUCUAUUGCCUUAUAAUUUCUAAUGCUUCAUAGUUUCACAUUUCGUGAUCAACUAACAGAACCCUGAAUAUCAAAAUGUAAUUAGAUAAGGCCAGUAUAAGUCUGUAAAUAUUAUAUCUUUCAGCGAUUGACUUUAUAGCAGAUACUGUGUCAUCUAUUGCCUUAUAAUUUCUAUUGCUUCAUAGUUUUACAUUUCCUUUUUACAACCUUCUAUAUAUAUGGUUUCACCCACUCACUUCACUCAAUGGUCCUAACAAAACUUUGAAAAUCAAUGAGUCAGUUAGGUCAAAAUAGAUCUCUAACUCAAUUAGAGAAGAUCUAAAAUGUCUUGUUCUUUCAAGAUCAUUAGCAAUAUUAGAAUUUGAUGUUUCACAUAGCAUGAUUGCCAGAGAAUUUAUUGUCAUUGUAAAUCCGUCUUUCUUGGGUAGAACCUAGUAUAUCUUUCUAAUGUUUAAUUAAUUUAUUGCAGUUAAAAUAUAUUUCCAAAGGUCAUCAUCUCUUUUAUUAGGAAUUUGACUGUAUAAUAGUGUAGCUUACGCUGUAUUUAGAGCUAUAAGUACCUAUUAUAUUCUUUAAUUCGAUUCCUUAAGUUUUCAAUUCAAUUGUAAACAUCCUCUAUUAAUGCGCAUUAAUUAAUCUUUAACAUCAUUAGCAUUUGCUAUUAACGAUUCAUUUUGAUUUAUUAUUUCCUCAAAUGCUCUUAAAAUCUCCAGUUUAAUUUUUUUAACAAGUCAAACUAUCCGUGUAUAUUUGACUAAGUAUAUCAAAUUGCAAUUUCUUAAUCGCUUCAACUAGUAAAUGCUUCAUUAACUUUACUUUAUUGUUCUUCAAAAACAAUGCCGUGUUGAUUAAACUUUUCUUUGUUUAGAUUUACAGCUGUU